AUUGAACGCUGGCGGCGUGCCUAACACAUGCAAGUCGAACGGGUGGCGGACGGGUGAGUAAUGUCUGGACAACUGCCUGAUGGAGGGGGAUAACUACUGGAAACGGUAGCUACUACUGCUUACCAUCAUAUGUGGCCAGAUGGGAUUAGCUUGUUGGUGGGGUAACGGCUCACCAAGGCGACGAUCCCUAGCUGGCCUGAGAGGAUGACCAGCCACACUGGAACUGAGACACGGUCCAGACUCCUACGGGAGGCAGCAGUGGGGAAUAUUGCACAAUGGGCGAAAGCCUGAUGCAGCCAUGCCGCGUGUAUGAAGAAGGCCUUCGGGUUGUAAAGUACUGUCGGCGGGGAGGCGUUACCCGCAGAAGAAGCACCGGCUAACUCCGUGCCAGCAGCCGCGGUAAUAC
rnacentral:rRNA from 1 species